ensembl:snRNA U1 U1 spliceosomal RNA
AUACUUACCUGGCAGCGGAGAUACCAUGGUCACGAAGCUGGUUUUCCCGGGGUGGGGCUCACCCAUUGCACUGCGGGUGUGCUGACCCCUGCGAUUUCCCCAAAUGUGGGAAACUGUACUGCAUGAUUUGUGGUAGUGGGGGACUGCGUUCACGCUAGCCCCUG